CUCCAGUUCCUCUUUCUGUGUUGCUAAUGAAAUGGCUUGCGGUAACUUCAGUGGUGCAGGCAGGAUGUCCCUGAUUGGAUUCAACAACAAACAAUGUGAGGAAGUAACAAUGCAUCUGUCAUGAGCACGCGACGAAGAACAGGACCCAAAUGCAGGACUCCCAAGCGAGGACUUGAUGUUGAGGGUUUUUUCGCCCAUUCAAGAGACAAACUCAAGCCUUAAAUGCCUGGUCUAAUUAGCGUCCAUACAGCGCAGGACAUUGGAUUGAUCCAGAACAGUCCAGUUGAGAUCGAAUCAAUGACCUGAGAAUUUCCAUGAAAGUGUUUGUGUGUCUUUUACCUGCUGACACAGUAGAAGGAGAUGAGUUUGUAAAUGUUAUCAAACACCAU